rnacentral:rRNA from 1 species
UACGGGGGGGGGCAAGCGUUGUUCGGAAUUACUGGGCGUAAAGCGCGUGUAGGCGGCCCGGUAAGUCCGCUGUAAAAGUCGGGGGCUCAACCCUGCGUCGGCCAGGGAGUACUGCCGCGGCUCGAGCACUGUAGAGGCAGGCGGAAUCCGGGUGUAGCGGUGGAAUGCGUAGAGAUCCGGAAGAACACCGGUGGCGAAGGCGGCCUGCUGGGCAGUUUGGCUGACACUGAGGCGCGACAGCGUGGGGAGCAAACAGG